rnacentral:sRNA from 1 species
UUAACAUUGAGAGAAUUUAUAGAGUAGAUGACAUGGUUUUCAGGUGGCUAAAAUCUAAACAUAAUCUAGGGAUAGAAUCGUAACUCUUUUAGUUAGGAAUGAUUUAAUCGGCAAAUUUAAUAGACUAGAUGUCGUGUGUAUGUCAUAUUGUGUAAUUUGCAUGAUUGUUAUGGCUUUGUUCAAUAUAUAUCUUGGAGAAGAGGUUUUGUUUUGUUUUUAUGGAUAGAAAAGGUGAGGUGUAUGGGGAGGUUCUGAUGCAAAGGUCCUGUUCCCCAAUUGGUUCUUGGUUUGUCAGUAAAGAAGGCUGGGAGCCAAUUGCUGGGGAGACAGUACAGGCGGGACUUCCGGGUCCCAGAGGGAAAAGGAGAGGCAGGGAAGGAGAGUUUUACCACACUUGGGAACGAGAAGAACACAGCAACCAUAUAAGGCCUGAGGUGGAGGGGUAGCUAGGACCUGUGGCCUUUGUUACAGAUGGCUGGCCCAGUAUGUUUGGCAGGGGCUAGGUGGGACUAGCCACUAAGUUUAGAGCAGGUGAGGAGAUGGAGAUAACAAAUUUUUCAGGCAGGAGAUAGUAACACCCAGCAAUUGUGCUCAGGAGGCAGGUUGUAAAGUAACAAACUGUGUAUGUGUGUCUUCUAUCCUUGGAUUCAAGGGUCUAGGGAGUGGGCUGAUAGCACAGUCACCUCCCAGAGACAAAGGUGGGAAGAACCAAAGGAAAUCGGUGAGGGACACAGGCAAAGGUGGUAGCAUUUAAAACUACACGCAACAUAGGUCAGUCACUCUGAUGUCAGGAAUGGAUAUACUCAACCCAUAGCUGACACAGAGUUGCCCCUCACAGAGAGGUGCACAGGGCUGGAAGAAGUACAUGUCCUGUACGGAUAGGCCCCACAUCACACACUAAAAGAUCAUCAUCCCUUCUAUGGAACCUAGGACCUCAAUUCCCAGGAACAAGCAAAUCAUCCCUGAAGUGGAUUAGCCAAGAAACAGGCUGACUGCUGGGCCACCAUGCUGGCUCCCUCUGGACUUCCAUUUCGGGCAUGCUUCCACACGGCCACGUGAUGAGCAGGAGCCCAGGAUUUAGCAGAUACAAAGGACUGGAGCACCUGGAAUCACCUGAUUUAAACUCUGUGGCCUUUGAAGCUAACCUAAGACUGACAGGGGCCCAGGCAAAGGCAAACAUCCUUGAUUGGGACCCAAUGGCAUUUGACUGGCACUUGAGCUGUGUGUGAGACCUGAAGAGCUUUAAAGAACUGAACUGAAAGAUGCCCUAGGGGUCUCCUUGUCAAGCACAUCUUCAUGUAAGUGGGAAACAGAAAGACAAAGAUUGGAAAAAAAAUCAUCCAGGAUCAUGGGGUUUGCUUGUGGCACACCAGGGACCAGGACUAUGGAGUCCUUUGGGCUCCAAGACCCUCUUUCAGUGGCUGAGGUGCAGGGAGGCACCAUGAGAAAUUUGGAGAUUUUGGCUGCUGAUGAGGCAGGACUAGAUAAUGUCUGGCCACCCACUGAUCCCAGACAGUAUUUAAACAGAAGUCUCCAAUGCUCCAGUGCACACUGACUUGGGCUUCUGUAUGGGAUGCAGCGUGAAAGAUUUAUGGGAUCACCGAUGCUGGAAAAUUGCUUCAAAGGGCCGUGCCUCUGGAGACUGAGAAGCUUACUUAAUGCUUUCCCAGACUGAGGUCUUUGUACUGGGUGGCAGGCUUGAAAAUCUAGCUCUUUUAAUGGCACCAAACAUGCUGACAGAUACUGAAGGACUAAAAGAUCUGAAAUGAGAGCGGGUAGGGCAUGCCGUAAACUCACAGGAAGUGUGU